CCCUUGCCCCAUGCUGCUCCCUGGUGGGCCAUAACUCGCUCUGCUUUUUCUCCGCUGUCCAUAUGUUGCGCUGUCUAGUCAGUCCCAACGAGAGAACCUCAGUUGCCGGUUUAGGAUUAACUUGCCGUUUUCUUUCUUCUCAGUGGGAGCCUCCAACUGCAGGUGUUUCUAGGCAGCCAUCUUGCCCCCGCCCCGCCUCGAGUGAUCCUGGGACUCCUUGAGAAGACAGCCCUGAAUUGAGCAAAUCCAUCUCCCUCUUCUUAGAUACCUGCCCAUGAGAAACUGCCCUGUCAUUAGUUGUCUCAAGUCCCAGCUUGCCUUCAGAAUACUGUGGAGCCGCCCACAUUGAAAGGAAGUGAAGCAAAAGAAAACUCUUCAGACUUGAAAGUCAAGAGUAAUGCAACAGUAUGAUGAUUCUGGGAUUAUUUUCAUAAGGAACUGGCUGACUGAGCAUCCUGGUUCCAGGCUUCACAUUGUAGCUUCUUUUGUCUGUCAGCUUGUUUGAAAGGGCUGUGGUGAAAUUUUUAAUAGUUGUUUUUAAAAUCUUGUUUAUAAUGACCUUGCAGAAACUGGAAACUUUUCUUUGUACCAGUUUUGUCCUUUUCUAUUUUGCAAAGAGCGCUUUCUGUAUUUCCAAUGGAACUUUUAAAUUUUAAAAAAAUACUAUAUUGACAAUUUUGGUAGGAAUGAAUACCUAGUUUUUGAUUCAAUGCUCAUCCAUUAUUUACUGAGGACUUGUCAAUCCACUUUGCUUGUAGUUAAGUGACAAUUGUGUUCAAUGGAGGCACAGAGUGGUGAGGCUGUGGUACUGGUUUACUUAUCAGAAAACAUGGUCUAUUAAUGCAAAGGAAGAUAUUGCUCAAAAAAGGAGGGUCUCUGAGAGAUGUGUAAGCUUGAGGCCAACUCCCUAAUUUGAAUCUUUGAAUGAUUUUUAAGG
rnacentral:lncRNA from 1 species